rnacentral:misc_RNA from 1 species
AAGUCGUAACAAGGUUUCCGUAGGUGAACCUGCGGAAGGAUCAUUAACACGUAUCCAAACGUUAAACCCCCCUGUGAACCUUCAGUCGUACUCGUACGUCCGUUAGAAAAAGCAGCAAUCCCUGGUAAAUCAUCGCCGAACAGUUUGUCACUAACGUUAGUGUCUGAAAGUGUCACUAACAUGUGUAAGGAUGACGCAGUCACGAUCGUUGGAGGCCCACACGGCCGACGACCGGGUCACUGGGUGCAAGCCCCCUUAUCACACCCCUGCUCUAUCUAUGGUGAUCCUGCGGGAAGUCCUGCGGUCGAACGCCGAAACCGAACAACUGUUAACAAUGGAUAUCUUGGUUCUC